UACGGAGGGUGCAAGCGUUAAUCGGAAUUACUGGGCGUAAAGCGCUUGUAGGCGGCUUGUUAAGUUCCGUGUGAAAUCCCCAGGCUUAACCUGGGAAGUGCGCGGAAAACUGGCGAGCUUGAGUGCCGGAGAGGGUCGCGGAAUUCCCGGUGUAGAGGUGAAAUUCGUAGAUAUCGGGAGGAACACCAGUGGCGAAGGCGGCGACCUGGGACGGACACUGACGCUGAGACGCGAAAGCGUGGGGAGCAAACAGG
rnacentral:rRNA from 1 species